GUGAGGGAUAUUGCGCAAUGGGGGAAACCCUGACGCAGUGACGCCGCGUGAGUGAUGAAGGCUUUCGAGUUGUAAAGCUCUGUUAGGUGGAAAGAAAUAUCCACGUGCUAAUACCACGUGGACUUGACGGUACCACCAAAGGAAGCACCGGCUAACUCCGUGCCAGCAGCCGCGGUAAUACGGAGGGUGCAAGCGUUGUUCGGAAUUACUGGGCGUAAAGGGCGUGUAGGCGGUUUUGCAAGUCAGAUGUGAAAUCCCUUAGCUUAACUAAGGAAGUGCAUUUGAAACUGCUUGACUAGAGUAUGGGAGGGGAAAGUGGAAUUCCCAGUGUAGAGGUGAAAUUCAUAGAUAUUGGGAGGAACACCGGUGGCGAAGGCGGCUUUCUGGCCUGAUACUGACGCUGAGACGCGAAAGCGUGGGGAGCAAACAGGAUUAGAUACCCUAGUAGUCC
rnacentral:rRNA from 1 species